rnacentral:ncRNA from 1 species
UGAGUGUUCGUUUCCGGCACUGUGUUAGCUCUUUCUGGGAUUACACAUGUUACUAGAUGGGUGUAGGGAGUUUGGGUUCUGCUUCGUUUCUUUUUAAAUAGAAGGAGGGGGGUAGUGCACAUAUAGAAAUCAGAAUAGGUUCUAUGACUUUGAGAUAAAUCCCCUGCUUCAGUGAUUAGAAUUGGUAUAUUAUUUCAGGAAUGAAUAGCUGGUUAUGAUGGGAAAGAGGGGAAGAUAAUAAAGUGCCAGCAUCUGCGGUUAAACUUUGUCCUCUAGUUAACACGUUCUUGUGGUGGAGUGGCAGGAAAUGGUUAAAGCGAAAUUUUUAUGUUAUACCGGUGAAAUGGGUAGGUAAAAAAUUUUUUGGGCUUUAACUCUGUUAACUCAUAAGGCUGUAAAAGAAACGGGGAUUAGAUACCCCCCUAUUGAUGCUGUAUUAUGAAUCCAUGGGUAGUACGGGCUUCUGCUUAAAAUCUAAGGAAGUUGGCGGUAAUCUCAUAUCAUGUGAGGGGAACUUGGCGGUUAAUUCGAUAUUCCUCGAGGACUUUACCUUCUGUGUACUUAGCCUACCGCCGUUGUCAGUAACUUUUUUGGUAAUGUAGAGGGUUGCUAGGGAUAUAAAGCUUGUUUAUGUUUAUCUAUUCGAAUUCAGGUAAGGGUGUUGGUUGUCAGAAGGGCUUAGCUGAGUUACAAUUAUGUAAUAAGACGGAGACGGGCCUGAAAUGGUGUGUCGAAGGUGUACUUCACAGUAAUGUCUUUGAUUGAGGGGACGUGAAUGUGUUCUGGGUUGUGUACAAAUCGCCCGGCACCCCUGUAUGUAAAAAUCUGGGUAAGUCGUAACAUAGUAAUACUACCAUAAGGUGGUUUUAAAGAAG